AGCUUGCUACACCAUAGACUGUGAGUUGCGAACGGGUGAGUAACGCGUAGGUAACCUGCCUAUUAGAGGGGGAUAACUAUUGGAAACGAUAGCUAAUACCGCAUAACAGUAUGUAACACAUGUUAGAUGCUUGAAAGAUGCAAUUGCAUCGCUAGUAGAUGGACCUGCGUUGUAUUAGCUAGUAGGUAGGGUAAAGGCCUACCUAGGCAACGAUACAUAGCCGACCUGAGAGGGUGAUCGGCCACACUGGGACUGAGACACGGCCCAGACUCCUACGGGAGGCAGCAGUAGGGAAUCUUCGGCAAUGGGGGGAACCCUGACCGAGCAACGCCGCGUGAGUGAAGAAGGUUUUCGGAUCGUAAAGCUCUGUUGUUAAGGAAGAACGAGUGUGAGAAUGGAAAGUUCAUACUGUGACGGUACUUAACCAGAAAGGGACGGCUAACUACGUGCCAGCAGCCGCGGUAAUACGUAGGUCCCGAGCGUUGUCCGGAUUUAUUGGGCGUAAAGCGAGCGCAGGCGGUUAGAAAAGUCUGAAGUGAAAGGCAGUGGCUCAACCAUUGUAGGCUUUGGAAACUGUUUAACUUGAGUGCAGAAGGGGAGAGUGGAAUUCCAUGUGUAGCGGUGAAAUGCGUAGAUAUAUGGAGGAACACCGGUGGCGAAAGCGGCUCUCUGGUCUGUAACUGACGCUGAGGCUCGAAAGCGUGGGGAGCGAACAGGAUUAGAUAUCCUGGUAGUCCACGCCGUAAACGAUGAGUGCUAGGUGUUAGGUC
rnacentral:rRNA from 1 species